rnacentral:misc_RNA from 1 species
UUUCCGUAGGUGAACCUGCGGAAGGAUCAUUAAAGAGAAUAUUCUCUUUGGGGUAGAUCUCCCACCCUUUGUUUUUAUUACCUUUGUUGCUUUGGCGGGCCCGGCUUCGGACCACCGGCUUCGAGUGGUCAGUGCUUGCCAGAGGACCCAAAACACUUAUUAUUAAUGUCGUCUGAGUACUAUAUAAUAGUUAAAACUUUCAACAACGGAUCUCUUGGUUCUG